rnacentral:lncRNA from 1 species
AUUUUUUUCUACAGCCUGAGAAGGAGCACCACACAGGAAAGGGGAUUAUUUGAAGUGGACAGCAAAAGAAAUCCAGGCCAUCAACACCUUUGGUGAAAAGAAAUACUAGGACUUCGGUCUUGGGCCCAGGCCCACUGCUGACAGCAUGAUGGAAGGAUGCACUUGCGGUCUAGACUCCCCCUCCCGCCUCCUGGAGUGGGGGUGAGGCGGCGUGGGCAACGGUUGGGAAGCUGUCUGGAGGCCUCUUGCAGAGACAUCAGAAUGCUUUGUUAGAACAAGCGCUGGGGAUCCAUCCUGUGGCUCACCCUAUCAAGCUGAAACCGGAUGUUGCUGCCAAGUUCUUUGGAAGGCUAAACAUUGUUGCCCUUGAACAUCUGCGUCUGCAAAAAGUUCUAGAUGUCAACCUUGUGACUAUACUAAUAAAAUCCUUGAAAGGUGAACAGAGGACAAACUGUACCAAGCCUCUGGUCCAAUGGCAUCCUGGAGUGGAGGGGGCUGCUCUGUGCGUCCUGGAGGUCUCACCCUAACAUGCGUCAGGGCAGAGGAAGUCUUGAGAACCUUGUGGACUUAUCUGUGGCAUCUUGAGGUCCACAGCUCCAUGGCGUAGCUCCUCGGGGGCUCCUUUCAGGAACACCCUUCCUGCCUCACACUGCUUGGUUCUCUUGAACCUUGAUGAAAGCCUCCAUGACUCUGUCAAUGGUAAGAAGCCAGUAUCAUGUGACUACUGCCGUGUUCUGCUCUCUGUGCCAGAUGGAGCCUGUGCUACAGCGGCCACUGAUCACGAAGAACUCUUCCCGAGCUGUGCUAGUUAGUUGGGCUUUUGUGUUUGUGUUUAUAUGAGCCUAUGGGGGCAUUUUCAUUUGUUUUGUUGA